rnacentral:rRNA from 1 species
AACGAACGCUGGCGGCAUGCCUAACACAUGCAAGUCGAACGAGACCUUCGGGUCUAGUGGCGCACGGGUGCGUAACGCGUGGGAACCUGCCCUUAGGUUCGGAAUAACUCCCCGAAAGGGGUGCUAAUACCGGAUAAUGUCUUCGGACCAAAGAUUUAUCGCCUUUGGUUGGGCCCGCGUUGGAUUAGCUAGUUGGUAGGGUAAAAGCCUACCAAGGCGACGAUCCAUAGCUGGUCUGAGAGGAUGAUCAGCCACACUGGGACUGAGACACGGCCCAGACUCCUACGGGAGGCAGCAGUGGGGAAUGUUGGAAAAUGGGCGAAAGCCUGAUCCAGCAAUGCCGCGUGAGUGAUGAAGGCCUUAGGGUUGUAAAGCUCUUUUACCCGGGAUGAUAAUGACAGUACCGGGAGAAUAAGCUCCGGCUAACUCCGUG